GCACGAAAGCGUGGGGAGCAAAUAGGAUUAGAUACCCUAGUAGUCCACGCCGUAAACGAUGAGAACUAGGUGUUGGGGGAAUAACUCAGUGCCGCAGUUAACGCAGUAAGUUCUCCGCCUGGGGAGUAUGCACGCAAGUGUGAAACUCAAAGGAAUUGACGGGGGCCCGCACAAGCGGUGGAGUAUGUGGUUUAAUUCGAAGCAACGCGAAGAACCUUACCAGGCCUUGACAUCCCUUGCAGAGGUAUAGAGAUAUAUCCGAGGUUAUCAAGGAGACAGGUGGUGCAUGGUUGUCGUCAGCUCGUGUCGUGAGAUGUUGGGUUAAGUCCCGCAACGAGCGCAACCCUUGUGAUAUGUUACUAACAUUGAGUUGAGGACUCAUAUCAGACUGCCGGUGAUAAACCGGAGGAAGGUGGGGAUGACGUCAAAUCAUCAUGCCCCUUAUGGCCUGGGCUACACACGUACUACAAUGGCGUCUACAAAGAGCGGCAAGCCUGUGAAGGCAAGCGAAUCUCAUAAAGGACGUCUCAGUUCGGAUUGAAGUCUGCAACCCGACUUCAUGAAGCUGGAAUCGCUAGUAAUCGCGAAUCAGCAUGUCGCGGUGAAUACGUUCUCGGGCCUUGUACACACCGCCCGUCAAACCAUGGGAGUUGGUAAUGCCCGAAGCCGGUGGCAUAACCCUUCGGGGAGUGAGCCGUCGAAGGCAGGACCGAUGACUGGGGUUAAGUCGUAACAAGGUAUCCCUACGGGAACGUGGGGAUG
rnacentral:rRNA from 1 species